rnacentral:rRNA from 1 species
GCGUUGUCCGGAAUUAUUGGGCGUAAAGAGCUCGUAGGCGGUGUGUUGCGUCGGCCGUGAAAACCUGCAGCUUAACUGUGGGCGUGCGGUCGAUACGGGCAUCACUGGAGUUCGGCAGGGGAGACUGGAAUUCCUGGUGUAGCGGUGAAAUGCGCAGAUAUCAGGAGGAACACCGGUGGCGAAGGCGGGUCUCUGGGCCGAUACUGACGCUGAGGAGCGAAAGCGU